UAGGAUUGUUGUCUUAAGCGAUGUACACACCGAGUAGAGCCAACGAAGAGUCAGCUGAUGGCAUGGUGUGUUGUGCAACCAUUGCCCACGGUCACUGCAGGAAAAGAAUGAACGUGUAGUACGGAAAGCCCUCCAAAAUCUGUGUUACUAAAGAAUUUGUGUCAGCAGAAAUGAGUGGACAAGUAAACUUUGGAGUGAGUGAGGAAGACCAAAGGAGGACACCAGAAGAAAGUCCCACUCAAAGUCCUAGCUUAUCAAGUCCAACAUUCCCCACAAAUACAGUUUCUGGUGCAACAGAAAACUCAUACCUCACUUCCAAUGCAGAAUUUGAGACAUACUUUAACAAUGAUAGAAUCCUUAUCCCAGAAUCUGAAAAUAAAUUGUUCAGCUUCCGCAAGUUGUGGGCGUUCACAGGCCCGGGAUUCCUCAUGAGCAUUGCUUACUUGGAUCCAGGGAACAUUGAGUCCGACCUGCAAUCUGGAGCAGCUGCCAGCUACAAGCUGUUAUGGGUGCUGAUGUGGGCUACCGUGCUGGGUCUAGUGAUGCAACGCCUCUCAGCUCGACUGGGUACAGUGACAGGUCUGCAUUUGGCUGAGGUGUGUUACCGCUACUAUCCCAAGGUACCACGGCUCCUGCUCUGGAUCAUGGUAGAGAUAGCAAUCAUUGGUUCAGACAUGCAGGAGGUGAUUGGCACCUCCAUUGCUCUCUACCUCCUCUCCAAUAAGGCCAUCCCUCUCUGGGGUGGUGUACUCCUCACCGUGGCUGACACCUUCACUUUCCUCUCGCUGGACCGCUAUGGCCUGCGUAAGUUGGAGGCAUUCUUUGGAUUCCUCAUUACUGUCAUGGCCAUCACAUUUGGUUAUCAGUAUGGGGUGUCAAAGCCAGACCAAGUGGAGGUACUCAAGGGCCUGUUUGUGCCUGGGUGCUCAGGAUGUGACAACCGGGCACUGUUGCAGGCUGUGGGUAUUGUUGGGGCCGUCAUCAUGCCUCACAACCUUUACCUUCAUUCUGCUCUUGUCAAGUCACGGGAAGUGGACCGCACCAAGAAGGAGGAAGUGCGAGAAGCCAACAAGUAUUUCUUCAUUGAGGCGUGUAUUGCUCUCCUCACCUCCUUCAUCAUUAAUGUGUUCGUUGUCUCUGUCUUUGCCAAGGGUCUCUUCGGAGUUACUAAUCAUGAAGUGCAUGAGCGGUGUGUCUCCAUGAACAACACCCAUUCUGAUGUUUUCCAAGAUAAUGAUGAGCUUGUGGACGCAGAUCUUUACAAGGCGGGAGUGUUUUUGGGAUGCACAUAUGGCGUUGCCUGCAUGUAUAUAUGGGCUGUGGGCAUCUUGGCAGCUGGACAGAGUUCCACCAUGACUGGCACUUAUGUGGGACAAUUUGCCAUGGAGGGCUUCUUGAAUUUGCGUUGGAAGAGAUGGCAGAGAGUUCUUUUGACACGAACCAUUGCCAUCACUCCCACCUUCUUCAUUGCAUUCUAUCAGGACAUCAACGACCUCACUGGAAUGAAUGACCUACUGAAUGCUGUCAUGUCGCUCCAGUUGCCCUUUGCCCUCAUUCCCACCAUCACCUUCACCUCGGCACACAAAGUCAUGGGGGACUUCAAGAAUGGAAUAUUCACCAGAGUUCUGGCAUCCCUCCUCUCACUGGUGAUCAUUGCCAUUAACUUGUGGUUUGUCAUCAACUUCCUCAAUACAACACUGAAUGGCCAGUGGUGGGCAUACAUGUUAGUGGUGUGCUGUGGUAUCUUCUACUUCAGCCUCAUCAUUUAUCUGACAGUCUUCUUGGUGGCAGCAUUCGGCAUCAACCUCAGCUGCAACAUUCCGCUGCCUGGAUUUUCAACUUUGGAUGAUAUUAGCCCUACCUUGCAACACAGCUUUGAGGGAUCAUAUCCAAGCAUUUAGAACAAACAGCUUACUUCCUGGACCUGAAAGACGGGAUGCCAGAAACUGCCACUAUGCCACAACACAUCAGAAUGGAGGACUCCAAUUGAUUCUCAGGAGCAGGACCAUGAUUUAUACCUUUUGCUGAGGCUGAAAUACACACACCCGUGGAGCUGCUGUGAUAGAUAAAGAGGAGACGUGCUAUGAAGUAUGUUGUCUUAAUCAUUGUUUGCAUCUCUGACUGCAGCUUGUGAUAUACCAAAGGUUGUUGCAGGCUGAUAAUAUUGCAGGCAUGUUUUUGAGAUGAAGAUUCGUUCAAUCCCUAAAAUGAUUUCAAUAUAUUUUAUUCAUAUUGCUUCUUUACAUCAUGCAUAUUAUGAUCAAUAUAUUUUAUUCAUAUUGCUUCUUUACAUCAUGCAUAUUAUGAUAUACAUAUUAUAAUGAUACAAACAAACAUUUUAUAUAUCAAUUCUUUACUUUUUUGAUAUGAUGGUUUUAUUAUCAGAAUUUGUGUUAGUAUUGUACAUAUAGUCACAAUUGAAUGUAUGUUAGAUAUUAAUUGAGACAGAGAUGACUGGAAUAAGGCUUCUUGAGGAGAAAACAGAAUCCAAACUAUUUAUUGGUACUUAGGCUGAAAAAUUACUUGCUUCAUUCAUCAUCCCAAAAGCACUUGUCACUCCCUGACUUAUGGCCUCGCUGCCUCUGAUGGGUGGCAUUGGAUGGAAAUCGAUUUGGAUUUGAAAGAUGAUUUAUUGUAUUGGGUCACCAUGGUACAGUGGAACCAGGCGCACUUUGGGAGCCGAGAGAUCCCUAAACGCACGGGUUCGAAUCCUGGCCAUGGUCUGAGUGUAGGAAGGGCUUCCUUACUCGGAGUAACAGUUCCGUAAUGGGUGGGCUUUAGUCCAUAAAUUUCUGUGAAAAGCCCACAUUAUAUGAAAAAAAUUGUGCAUCCCUGUAAUUAGAAAAAUGUUUACAAGCCAAUAUAAGAAUGUUAAAUUAUUUUCUCUGUACUCAUAUUGUUCACAGCUAUGCAUCUCUUGGCUAAUGCUGAGAGACACUGUUAUGAAGCAUUGUUGAUAUUUAUAUCACCACUGAAAUCAUCUCAGUUUACCAAUUACUGAUACAUAAUAAGGAAUUAUUAGGAUUUUGAAAAUGCUUAAAGUUAAGAUCAAUUAUCACUUAUAACAUGUGCUUUGAUCAGAGGAAAUGAGAGGGAAAUAAAGGCAGUAGGAUUGAGCAACAAAAAAUUAGUCUCAUGAUAGUGAAUGGAACAGACUUGGCUUCCAGGAGCAUAGAGCCUCACACCUAAAGGCUGUCAUAGGGGGCCAAAUAUACUCCAUAUAUACUAACAACUCUAUGGUGCAUAUCAGUUUUGUAUAUGCAUAUAUGAGUGAUAGUAAGAUGUAGAGAAUCUUUACUUAUUACCAUAUAGCAUUUCAUGUUUUUCCUUUUUUUUUUUCAUACAUAAGGCCCAACAUAGAGAAGGAUAUAUAAACACUGGUUUUAUUGUCUCAAAACUCACAAAGUGGUCAGCAAAGUCCAAUUUUACAAGGAGAAGGAUACACAAGCAUUGCUUUUGUGGUAUCUUAUACAUAUGUACUAUGCAGAAACACUUUUUACAAAUACCAGUGGUAGAUGGUGUGAAAAACAAACCUGAAGUAAAGUAAACACUAAUAGUAUGGAUGAACCAAACAGCUGUAUGGCCUUGCAAGCUCAGCAACACAUACAUCACAACAUGAAAUACUAUUCUUUGAUCAUAGUUUCUAUGGUAAUAAUAUUCUCUUCUUAGUAUCAUCCUUAGCAACCAAUUUCUUGGACAACCUUGUCACUUUGUAAAUAAAGUGAACUUUACAUGAAAAGAAAACAAAACAGAGAACAUACUGAAGAGCACAAGUGAAUGAGAAUAUGACUGCAUGACUGUUCCAUCACUAGAGUACAGUGCUGAAUGAGAGGGAGUGAAGCAGCAUGGUCAGGCAUCUCUGAUUGCUGCAGUCCACCUAGAGGAAAACAAAAAAUGGAUCCUCUCUCUGUUCAAAUGGUGCUUAUAACCAAAAGUAUAUCUUAAAUUAUCUUUUACUUAUAAUAACCAGAGGCACUUGUAACAAUAUUCAUCACUACAGAUGUAAUUAAAAUUACAUCUGUAGUGAUGAAUAUUGUGCUACAGCCUUUUCCUGCACUACUCCCUACUCUUCAGCAUCACCAACACAAUUGCCAAGGCUGCACAUGCUUUGCCAUAAAUUGGCAGAUGCAGAUUCUGAAGGCUUUUUCUAAGAAGAAAAAAAAAAAAAAAGCAUAGAUUCACUUGAUUCACUUUCACUAUCAGUCAGUGUUAUUGUUGGUACCUUGUAUCUUUGUGAAACACUAGGAGAAAUUUGUCUCUGCUGUAGAUAAACUACCAGUGAACAGUGUCUUCACAUUUCCUGUCACUAGACAUAGUCUUGUUGAUGAAAACUAGUACAGUACUCUCAGAAUAGAGCAGUAAUGCAGAUUACAAGUGAAUAUAUGUUUUGCAUGGGAGAUAAACAGACUCAGAAUGAGGACCUGCCUCACUACACUCCACUUGAACACACUAGCUGGGGAUGAUGCCAAGAGAAGCAGAACACACCUGACACCUGUUAUCAAUCAUACACUGUCAUAUGUACAAUCUAAUGGUAUUUGUGUAUUAAUCCUUGACUUGGCUUUGUGAAAUACAGAGAGAGCUAUUUGAGGCUAAAAGUUGUGCAUUACGUGACUAUUCAGUCUUGUCAGUGGAAUUUGUCAUCCACCACAAGCUUUGGGUAACUUCAUUUCAAUUUUUAAGGUGUUGACACUUGGGAAUCAUUCCCCAUGUGGGACCUCAUGUAUGUAUACAUUGCAGGUUUUUAUAUUGUCAGAUGUCAGUAUUUGAAUCUGUAGCAGAAAAAAGUAGUGUGACCCAUGAUUAUUAUUUUAGAUAUCUGAAGCUAACCUGACAUACUGAGGUAGCUUGAUAAUUAUGCAGAGAAUGGGAAAGAAGAUUACUUGAAGUCUUUGUGAAGUAGAUCCUGUUAUUGCAUAACAAAGUGUUCUCUAUAAGUAAGGAAGAUGUUAUUGUAAUAUUUCACAAUGAUAAAAAGAGUGGACGAAUGAAAGGAUUGCCAUGUUUUUGUACUGGAGCAGUCGAACAUAUUGCUGCCACUCUUGAGGAAGUCCUGCAGAGCAUGUAUGAAAAUAAGUAGAAAGAUAGUCAUUCCUAAUAUCAAGAUUUUAAAAAGGCCUUUAUGUGAUGAGAGUGAGUGGAGCUGAUGUUGAAAUUUUAGAGGAUGAUUAUUCAGUGUUUAUUUGAAUUUUAAUAAUAAAUUUAAACUUAUUCAGUGUUGGCACCAAAUUAAGCAUGCUGUUUUAUAUCAAAACUCAGAAUACAUUGUUGUGCCUUAAGCCAGUUUUGCUAGUUUGAUAUUGAUAAGGGUUCAGUGGAUUACUACCUUAUCCUUACAUGGUGCUUCGAUGUUACUUUGAAAAUAAGGAAUACUGACCAUCUCAGUAAAAUAUAAACAUGUUUGUGCUUAGGCUUGAUAAUUUUUUAUGCUAGUCUUGUUAGUAUUUUUGAUAUUGGCAAUAGUAUGUAGCAUGUUGACUUAUUAUUAUUUUUCGAGGUCCUCUUAAAGAUAAUUAUAUAUGACUUGUAAGUAUUUUCAGUUCCUGUGAAGCUCUGUUCAUGAAGCACUUCAGCUUUCACAAUUUUACUACAAAGUGCUCAUGGAAGCCAACUUUCUGUAAGUACAGUACAUGUACUUUAAUGUUUUUCAUGUCUUUUGUGAUGCAAACUUUUGUUUAGUAACAUUUAGGCUAGCUUCAUCCCAUCACCAAGACCUAUAUUGGAUAUUUUUGUACCAGUGAUUAGUUUGGCUUUGUGAUGGAAUUUGUUGGUAGAGAUACUCAUGUAUUUGAAUCUUCUAACUUAGCACAUAGGAGUUCCUGGUCUAAGUUAUUUCCUUGAAUCUUUAUUGGUGAAUCUUUCUGUUCAUGCAAGGCUGAUCCUUGUCUGAAUUGCUCUAUACUUUGUGCAGGGAAGUUCCUUGUCAAAGUUCCUCUGCUCUUGAAUCUUCUGACUAGUACAAGGGAGAUCCUUGACUAAAACUCAGGACAAGGCAGUUUUUUUGUCAAACUUUUAUUAGUGCUAAAUAAUUUUAAGUGAUAGAAAACCCUUUACAAAAUAAAUUUGUUAUUUACUAUUUUAUACCAUAUAGUACACCAAUACUACCAAUAGGAGCUGGGGGAUGGUUGCCUGUGUGUGUGUGCAACACCUCUGCUGGCUGGUUCAGAUUAUUUUCAUGUUCACUAUUGAAGAGAGAGAGAGAGAGAGAGAGAGAGAGAGAGAGAGAGAGAGAGAGAGAGAGAGAAAACUGCAGAAAGUCUGUGGACAACUGCUUUACCUGUUGUCUGAUAUAAGUAAUGAUAUUGCAAAAAUAGUACCACUUCUGACUAUCUUUUCAUUAUUUAUCAUAUUUCCCUCAGGUAUGAUGACUCUAUAGCAUGGCUUAGUAUGGGUAUGCUGUGAGUGAGUCCUUCAAUAAGUAAUCCAAACCUUUUUGUUGUUUUUGUGCCUUUUUUUUAGGGAUGGGACAUUAUGUGACUGAAGUGUCCUUUUCAUCACAUUCCCUGCAUUCCUGAUGGAGUUAAGAUUAGAAAUGUUGCUCGGCUUCUGCGAGGUGUCUGUGGUGGUCAGAGAACCAUUUGGUAACUCUCUUGGUCUUGCUAUAUGGUGUGCAGUUGUGUAUACAGUCUGUUCUGUGAGAAAAGUCACUUACAGAAAUGAAAGACCAGGUCAUUGUAAGUCAUAAGUAUUCUGCAGUUAAACAAAUGCUAUUAUCACCAUAGUUUAUAAGUUACAAUACUCAAAUAUGAAUGUACAUACACCAGUGGCAAAGUGGCUCCCCAGUCCCUUUCUGCACUGUCAGUCUGAUCACUCUUGCCAUGUGAAAUUUGUUACAGCAUAGCUAUUAUUUGCUACAUUAAUACACCACAUUUUUUAAUCUCAUUUUAUUUUCAUUUACAAAGUUCUUGCUGUGUAAUCCCAAGUGGCAACCUCAAGAUGGCAACAUGUAGCAUUCCUUCCUCCAUCCCUCUCUGCUAACUCUUACCAUGUUCAUAUUUAAACAUUUCGUAACUUAUAAACCAUUAGACCAUAUAGUAUUUCUGACAUAGAUGACUUCUUUCACCUCUGUGAAUAUGUGAAUAUUCUCUUCAUGGAUGGCACAACUGUAACUUAUUGAAAUGAAGCUUGAUGGUCUUAGCACUCAACAGUGCAUUGGGUUUGCCCUUGCCUGCAAAUCUGUUGGCCGUUGUUUGACUAAAAUAAGGCAGUUGGUGCACAGCUCACCCAGUUAUUCCUUCUUCGGAUUUGUUGAUAAAUUGGAAAACUUGGAGAACAUAGAGUAACCUAACCUAACCUAACCUAACAGCUUUAGUAUGUGUUCCCAGUCUUACCUUGGUAGUCUCCAAGUUUCCAUUUACAUUGGGCAUCAUUUUUUUGUAUAUUUGAAAAGGAAGAACCAAUCUACCAUUACCACUCUAACUACUGAAACAUUGCCAUAUCAGAGCAGAAUCAGGAUGUUGAGCUCUGCAGAUCUUUCAAGUGUGUGUGUGUGUGUGUGUGUGUGUGUGUGUGUGUGUGUGUGUGUGUGUGUGUGUGUGUGUGUGUGUAUGUGUGAAUAGUAUGGGGAAUUGAACAGCUGCCAUAAUUGUAUUGAUUAUUAUAAAGGUGAUCUUACUGGCAUGAGUGUGUGUCUGAGACCAUCCCUGGGCCACCAUAUAUUUAAUUUUCCAUCAUUUUUAUGUAUGUGGGAAAGGAGAGACAAGUUCAUGUGUACCUGGUGGGUAGCAGUGCUGUGACAGGCCAGCAUGGCCCUUCAAAACGGUGACUCUUCUGGUGGUGGUAUUAUAUUAUCAUUACUGUUAUUAUUAUUAUUAUUAUUAUUAUUAUUAUUAUUAUUAUUAUUAUUAUUAUUAUUAUUAUUACUAUUAUUAUUAUCAUUAUUCUUAUUAUUAUUUUGAUUAUUAUUAUUAUUAUUAUUAUUAUUAUUAUUAUUAUUAUUAUUAUUAUUAUUAUUACUACUAUUAUCAUUAUUAUUAUUAUCAAUGUUGUUGUUGCUGUUAUUAUUAUUACUAUUAUUAUCAUCAUUAUGAAGCUCAAUCUCUUUUUUGUUAAGAAUUGUUACAAACAUAUAUUGCAGUCACUACUACUACUACUACUGCUACUGCUACUGCUACUACUACUACUACUACUACUACUACUACUACUACUACUACUACUACUACUACUACUACUACUACUACUUUCAAUUUCUUAGGUGCCUUAUGCAGAGAAGAACAAUCUUUUUUUAUUAUUUUUUAAUAUAUGUAUGUAUUUAUUUGCUUACUGUUAAUGGUUCAGAAACAUAUGCUUUAUGAAUUUAUUUAUUUUUUGGUAGUACAUUUUAAUUUUACUAAGUUCUAAUAUUUUUAGUAAGUUAUGUUCACUGUAAAACCAGAUGUAGCUAUGCCUCUUAUCAAACGUAACAUUGUACAUCUAUCAUGUUACUAAUGUUUCAAUAAACUUUGUGUUAUCAGUAGUAAUUAUAUGAAGAAUAUAUUUACUUUUGCAUUUGCAGACAUACAGAAUUUUGUAGUGGUUGAGUGUGAUCUAUUUUCUUUUCAUUGUAGUGGUGUAGAAAGGCAUGUUUUUUUUCUCCUCUUUUAUAUAGUAUAAUAAUUUAGAAAACAUAAUCAUAGUGCAGUACAUGAAGGUGUUGGUUUGGAAGUGACAUAAGCCUGGUGGCUGAAGGCAAUUGUACAUAUCUAUCCAAGUGCACUGCUCAUGAAAACACUCCCUAUUACUGAUGAGAGCUUGACCACAUAAACAGUGACACAUUCACUAACAUGAAAGCUGAAAUCUUUACAUCCAUUACUGAUGCUAAUGCUUCAAGUGUUUUCUUUAAAGUUACAGGCAUUUUCAGUCUAAUGCUAUAGAUGUUUUCACUGCUGGCAGUUUUUUAAUCUAUCCAUAUAGAGCAGCUUGUCUGAUUGAUGAUAAAGGGAGAGAUGGUAGAGUGGUAUUCAUCCAUAAUUAUGGAUUAAGAACUGCCAAUAUAAGCACUGUAUACAAUUACCAAAGACAAUAAUAUAUUGAUUGAGUUGUGUUAGUCUCCUGUCAGUAUAGUUCAUGGACAACAUUAAUGGACAGCUCUGCUCUCUGAAUCUUCUAACAGGGAAUCAUUUUAGUUUGUCUUGUAAAGAAUAAUAGUAUACAUGAUUCAUCUCUUAUGAGAAUUUCUGCUGCUAUCUAUAAGCUUUCAUGUCAAUGUAAAGAUCUCUUUAACGACUGCUUUAAAACUUGCCAGUAAUGGCUCACUCUUUACUAAUUAUUUUCAUAUGUGGGAACUGUCCAGAGUUAAAACUAAAGCUGCCACUUCACCCACACCAACACCAAGUCUGUGAUCUGACAAUAGUUUCAAGCAAGUUUGUCACAUUGAUAAAGUCAUGCAGAGCUGAGGUCUGCACUGCCCUGUCCAGCUUAUCAGCAGCAGGACCACUGUGUGGGAAAGCCACUAGUGGAAUGUCUCUGUACUCUAGGCCUAAUCAAACAAGUGAAUCUCAUGCAGCAGACACCAGUUGUGCUCUGCAUGUCACCUUGUAAUGUCUUCAAUAAAAAGUGCAUUUGUU